rnacentral:rRNA from 1 species
GAUGAACGCUGGCGGCGUGCCUAAUACAUGCAAGUCGAGCGAACAGACGAGGAGCUUGCUCCUUUGACGUUAGCGGCGGACGGGUGAGUAACACGUAGGUAACCUACCUAUAAGACUGGGAUAACUUCGGGAAACCGGAGCUAAUACCGGAUCAUAUUUCGAACCGCAUGGUUCGAUAGUGAAAGAUGGCUUUGCUAUCCCUUAUAGAUGGACCCGCGCCGUAUUAGCUGUUUGGUAAGGUAACGGCUUACCAAGGCAACGAUACGUAGCCGACCUGAGAGGGUGAUCGGCCAAACUGGACCUGAAACACGGUCCAGCCUCCUACGGGAGGCAGCAGGAGGGAAUCUGCCGCAAGGGGCGAAAGCCUGACGGAGCAACGCCGCGUGGGUGAUGAAGGCCUUCGGAUCGUAAAACUCUGUUAUUAGGGAAGAACAAACGUGUAAGUAACUGUGCUCGUCCGGACGGUACCAAAGCAGAAAGCCACGGCUAACUACUU